rnacentral:rRNA from 1 species
GAUGAACGCUGGCGGCAGGCUUAACACAUGCAAGUCGAGGGGUAUAGUUAGCUUGCUAACUUGAGACCGGCGCACGGGUGCGUAACGCGUAUGCAAUCUACCUUUUACAGAGGGAUAGCCCAGAGAAAUUUGGAUUAAUACCUCAUAGUAUCUUUGCCUGGCAUCAGGUGAUUAUUAAAGUUCCAACGGUAAAAGAUGAGCAUGCGUCCUAUUAGCUAGAUGGUAAGGUAACGGCUUACCAUGGCAACGAUAGGUAGGGGUCCUGAGAGGGAGAUCCCCCACACUGGCACUGAAAUACGGGCCAGACUCCUACGGGAGGCAGCAGUAGGGAAUAUUGGGCAAUGGACGCAAGUCUGACCCAGCCAUGCCGCGUGCAGGAUGAAGGCGUUAUGCGUUGUAAACUGCUUUUAUACAGGAAGAAACGACUCUUGCGAGAGGCAUUGACGGUACUGUAUGAAUAAGCACCGGCUAACUCCGUGCCAGCCGCCGCCGUAAGAC